rnacentral:rRNA from 1 species
AUUGAACGCUGGCGGCAGGCCUAACACAUGCAAGUCGAGCGAGCGGCGGACGGGUGAGUAAUGUAUGGGGACUGCCCGAUAGAGGUGGAUAACUACUGGAAACGGUAGCUAAUACAGCAUACUAUCGGAUAACCCAUAUGGGAUUAGCUAGUAGGUGAGGUAAUGGCUCACCUAGGCGACGGUCCCUAGCUGGGCUGAGAGGAUGAUCAGCCACACGGGAAAUGAGAAACGGCCCAGACUCCUACGGAGGCAGAAGGGGGGAAGAUUGCACAAUGGGCGCAAGCCUGAUGCAGCCAUGCCGCGUGUAUGAAGAAGGUCCUAGGGUUGUAAAGUACUUUCAGUCGGGAGGCGUUACCGACAGAAUAAGCACCGGCUAACUCCGUGCCAGCAGCCGCGGUAAUAC